GUAGGUGAACCUGCGGAAGGAUCAUUGAAUCUAUAUCAAUCCACAACCGUGAACAAUAACGUUGGCCACCCAAUUAAUAAUUAAUUAUUAAUUGGGUUGAGGAUUGUACGAGCCUUUAUAUUAAGGCUCAUGCAUGACUCAGUCGCUUCUCCGCUGUCUGUCGUAUAAAUUAAUUAAUUCAUUUAUAAGGCUUACAUGAGCGGCGUCGGUCUCUUACUAACCAACCAACACCAAACCUUAACCAAAUUAAAUUCGAGUGUCUAGCUUAGAGCUAGCGCUCACUAACCAAGACAACUCUCAACAACGGAUAUCUUGGCUCUCAGAUCGAUGAAGAACGCAGCGAAAUGCGAUACGUAGUGUGAAUUGCAGAAAUACGUGAAUCAUCGAAUCUUUGAACGCAAAUUGCGCUCGAGGCUUCGGCCAAGAGCAUGUCUGCCUCAGCGUCGGGUUAAUACUCAUUCGUACUCACACUAAUCUAAUUAAUGUGGGUGAGAGUGGAACUGGCUGUCUCGGUUAUUAAUUAAUUAAUUAAUUAUUAACCGGGUCAGCUGAAGUACAGAUAUUGUACCAUGGACCGUUAAACGGGCCUCUACUGGGUAGGCAAUUCGUUGCUGCAAUGCUUUAGUAGAUGGCUUGGGUGCUGUGUACGAUACGAAACAGGAAUACGACUCGUCGUAUUAAAACCCUAUUUUCUCGACCUGAGCUCAGGCAAGAUUACCCGCUGAACUUAA
rnacentral:rRNA from 1 species